rnacentral:rRNA from 1 species
AUUGAACGCUGGCGGCAGGCCUAACACAUGCAAGUCGAGCGGAGCGGCGGACGGGCGAGUAAUGCCUAGGAAUCUGCCUGGUCGUGGGGGAUAACGUCCGGAAACGGGCGCUAAUACCGCAUACUAUCAGAUGAGCCUAGGGCGGAUUAGCUAGUUGGGGGGGUAAAGGCCUACCAAGGCGACGACCCGUAUCUGGUCUGAGAGGAUGAUCAGUCACACUGGAACUGAGACACGGUCGAGAAUCCUACGGGAGGCAGCAGUGGGGAAUAUUGGACAAUGGGCGAAAGCCUGAGCCAGCCAUGCGGCGUGUGUGAAGAAGGUCUUCGGGUUGUAAAGCACUUUAAGUUGGGAGGCGUUACCAGCAGAAUAAGCACCGGCUAACUUCGUGCCAGCAGCCGCGGUAAUAC